AGUGCUGCGCCGGAAGAACGGGCUACAUUGAUGUUGUAGAAUAUGAGAUCUAAUCUUCAGUACUU
rnacentral:tRNA from 1 species